AGCCCUUUCAUCUCUUCCCCCCUCCCUCUAUAGCUCCAAUCUCUCUCCUUUUCCUCUCCAAUCUCUUUGUACCCAGUUAGUAUAGAAUCCUCUUGAAUCCCUCAACUAGAAUCCCCUUUUCCUCUCCAAAACUAAAAUUCACAAAACCCUAAUCUUUCAUUUAUGGAAAUCUAGAUCUCUUCAAUCUCAAAUCCUUGUUCUCCCUCUAUCUCCCCUAGACUUCUUGAUUUUACAUUCUUUGAAUAUUUAAGGGAUAACCUGCAUCAAGUUGACGAGAGACUAGCAGUGGUAAUUGAAAAAUAAAAGCAGUCUUCAGAUCUGGAGAUGAGUAGACUUGAUGUAAGGAUCAUGCAGAAACUUGAUGUCAUGCAACAAUUGGAACGUGAGCUUGAGGCCAUGUCUACCUUUGAUUACUGAGAAGUUAUGUUACUCCUCGUGAAGAAGUUCUUGCCGGCAUGUUUGGAGGAUUUAGCAGGCAAAGAUGCUAAAGAGAAAUCUGAUGUUGCUAUAAAAGACCUUUUUGCGGAGCUUGCACUUGUGGCCAAAAGCAAUGUCAACAAAGGAGGUGAUGAUUCAAAACAGAUACAGGCAAUGUUAAAGAAAAAGAAGAAGAAGGAUUACAGAAGAGCUAAGAAUCCAAAGGGCGUUGGUCAUGACAAAGAGACUCUCACCCAUUAGGAAAUCGAAGAACAAGCGAAGUUGAGGCUACUUUGAAUGCUAAGGAUAUCCAAUCACAAAUACAAAAUCACCUAUGGCUAUAGUACAAAAGUAGCUACAGUAAAGCUAGGGUCCUCAAAGAAUCGUUGUUGAUGUGAUUAUGAUGUCUUCUUGGUUUCCAUUUGCAGAUGUGUGAUUAGGACAUCGAUGUUUUGGGUGGUGGCAACAGCCUAUGGAGUUGGACUGGCCAUCAACUUCACCUCUAUGUGGUUUUUAAACCAAAUAGGUCCCACCACGUACAGGUAAGAGUCAUAUACCACUGAGAGACUACUAAUGAAUAGUCUUCCUAACACCACAUACAGGUAAGAGUCAUAUGCCUCCCAUCUGCAUAGGGUACAUCAGAUCAAUAGUCUUCCUACCAAAGACUGUACUUUUGUUGAAGAUGAGGACCCCAUGUAAUCUCUUUGAUCAAUAGUCUUCGAUUGAUAUCUUGACAUGCCUCUUGCCAGUUGAUGUCAUGAAUAUCUUUUGGAGUCAAUGAGUUUUGGGUUUGAAGGUAAUCUACUUGAUCCUCUAGUUUGAAAUUUUUUGCCAUGUGGUCUACAUGUGGUGUAAAACCAGCUUUCAACUUAUAAUAUUGGGUUCUAGUUUUUCUAUCCUUUUACUUUACAUGAGUCGGCAAAAAGGCUCAUAAUUGGUAUAUGCUUGAUGUGAAGGGACAUUCAAAAUUCUCCUUAAUGUAGGUCUUCCCACAUAUGGAAGUCUAUUACUCUUUGUUAUUUUGUUUGUUGUAACCAUUUCUUUGAGUCCCCAUUAUUUUUUAUUGAUCAUCAGAGACCAUUGUUGUUCUUUCUUAUGAAGUGUUGUAUUCUAUUUGUUCUUAAGUUAGUUCCCUUUUAUUUCAUGUCUAUCUUUUUUCGUCUUGGCUAUAAAGAAUUAGAAGCUCACUUCACUAGCUUUUGCAAAAUUUGGAAUUAGCUAGCAACAUAGUAAUUUAGCCUUCUUUCUUCUUAUCGCCUUUUAUUUUGUUGCAAACUCCAAAAUACAUGUAUGGUAUUCUUAUUUCUCUACUUCAUAACUCAUCUUUAGAGACAUGAAAUAUUUAUUUUUCAUUGUUGGUAGUUGAGUGAACACAAGAGCCUAUCGGAUAAGAACAAAUGGUAGAGAUCAAGUCUCUUAAAGCACUGGAAAUGAAAUAUUGCAGAUCUUUCAGAGUGAUGCUUAUCAAGCCACUGACUGUUACAAUCUCUUAUUCUCAGGUUUCAUUCAAGUAAAUAGUGAAAUAGCAAUGGAAGUUUUCGAGUUGUCUUUUGCUUAUAUGCUUGUUUGCUUGUCUUUUGCUCUUUCGUUUUCAUGUAUAUUACUUCCAUUAUCAAGUCAUUCUGUCUGGUUCUGGAUGUUCUCAUGGAUACUAAUCUUUGCAUUUCUGUUCAAUAGGAUGAUGAUUUAGAUGAAUUGAUUUACACUCCAGAUUUGUUGGUUUGAGCUAAUUCCUUUUUUUCUUUUACUUUUCUCCAUAAUCUUUCAAAAGGGGACAAAAUCUUCAUAAUCCAUUAAUUCUUUUUUCCAUAUAGAUUGUUGAUGUUUUGUUGAGAGCACGUCAUCUCAAAAUUACAAAAGAUUACAUUCUAUUUUUUUUUUCCUCCAAUGAAUCUGUUUUGGAGCAGUUCCAUACUUUGUUUUGGAGCAGUUCCAUACUCUGUUUUGGAGCAGUUCCAUACAUUGUUUUUCGUGUAAAUGUUAAGAGAGGUUUUAAGAAUGGGUCCUAGACCAAACACUUUCAGUUACACAGAACUGAAGACUGCCACCGAAGACCUCAAUCCUGCAAGUAAGCUGGGUCAGGGUGGAUUUGGCACCGUUUUUAAGGAGAGUAAAUUGCAUCUGGAUUGGCAUACCCGCUUCGAGAUAUACUUGAGGACAACAAGUGGUCUCGCUUACCUUCACAAGGAAUCCAGGCCUCACAUUGUUCACAGGGAUGUCUAAUGGAAUGAAGCUGUACUCAGGUGCUAUGGAGAAUGAUCAGAAAUGUGCAGUUUCACAUGCGGAAGAGGGUUUGAUGAGAAAAGAAUCAUUUGUGCUUGGAGAAUAUAUCUCAUCCCUAUCAAGAGAGACACCAAGACAUCCUCCAGCUCCCCUAGCUCCUAAGGGUGACCUUUUACAUGGCAGAAAUGUAUUGUCAAAAUCUGCUAUUCAAACUGCAGUAUUUGAUGGAUUUGAUCUGACAAGUUGUGAUGGACACAUUUCCAUAAAGAAUCUAGGUUCCUUAUAAGGUAACAACUCAUUACUUCUUGCUUCUUUUUUGAAAAUGAUGUUGUAUCUCAGUUUUGUAGUAAAUUUUCUGAGAUUCAUUGCUUUCUUUCCAGGCAUCACUUGUCAGAUUUGUCAAAACCCGAGUUUUCUUCUGAUAAUGGGGAU